UAGGAGUCUCUUUCUCCCUGCUUCGGAUGCUGACUAGGCUCACCGGAAACGGAAGCCCGGGCUACUCAUUUCCUUUGACUGGCAUCCCCAAGGGCACCGGUGUCUUUAUUAUUUUUAGGACAUGGCAAGAUGGUGGAAACGGAAGAACUCGACAGCACGAAUACACACGGCAGGGUGGUGACGACAUCCUGUGCAUUUGAGGACCUGCAAUGAAACCAGAAGCCUACUCUAUCGUGGUAGCACAUGUAUAAUAAGCAGAGGCGUGCAGGAAAGAAAAAGAACACAACUGAGACAAAAUAGAGCUUCUAGGACUUUAGUCAAAGGCAGAAAGUGAUUUAACCUUGACAGUGAUGACGUCCUGAGCUGGUUCACUCUGCUGCCUCAUAGGCUGCUCGCAUCCUGGGUGUUACGAGCUGGGGACCGAACCAGGGCCUUGCGCUUCCUAGAAUUACCAAGUUGGACAGAAUAUUAUUCUACUGACAGCUGUCACUUGGCCGAUUUUAAAAUCUUCCUCAUUGUAUGUCUGUUACGGGGACUGGGCACGUGGUGUAUUACAAGGACACCCAGCAAAUCUUCAACAUCAUCUGAACAGUGGUUCUCAGCCUUCCUGAUGCUUUGACCCUUCAAUACAGUUCCUCACAUCGUGAUGACUCCCAACCAGAAAAUCGUUUUUGUCUCUACUUCAUCACUGCAGUUUUGCUACUGUUAUAAAUCAUUAUGUAAAUAUGUGAUAUGCAGGAAAUCUGAUAUGUGACCCCUGUGAAAGGGUCAUUUGACCCCCAAAUGGGUCGCAACCCCCGGGGUGUAAGCCACUGGUGUAGGAGCACAAAUAACCACUGAAGGCCCUUGAUUUGGUUUUUCUUUUGUGUAAGCCAGUGGCUGAUUCCGCAUGCAGAGCUCAAGGAGGGUUUGUAACGAAGUUUUCCCCUUCUACACUUGUUUCCCAGAUUCUCAGUUCCUCUUUCAAGGGUACACGGUGUGGAUCGGGUGUCACUCCAUGUUUUACGUACAUCUAAGCUGCAUUUGUGACACUGAUCUCACUCAGCCCUAUUAAAAAUUUCGGAAUGUACCAGGCACACUUUAGAUUUGCUUCUCUCUCUCUCUGUCUCUCUCUCUCGUCUCUGUCUCUUUCUCUCUCUGUCUCUCUAUCUCUCUCUCUCUGUCUUGUCUCUCUCUCUCUGUCUCUCUCUGUCUCUCUGUCUCUCUGUCUCUCUCUCUUGUCUCUGUCUCUCUGUCUCUCUCUCUGUCUCUCUCUCUGUCUCUGUCUCUCUCUCUCUCAAUGGCAGUUUGAUAAUUCAUCUAACUAAUUUUCUGGUUGACAUACAUAGCCAUUUCUACAGCAAUCAGUAUUUUUAUAGGGAAAAAAACUCCUGCUGUUGGAAUUGCUGGGUCACUUCGGAAGUGUCAGAUUUCCCCGGAUGCUUUCCGUAGACGCAGCACUACCUGAGUUGCCCCCAGCAGGGCGCUUUGGUACCUACAUCCCACUCUACCCACAGCGCCACACAUUUUCUGUCCUGUAUCACCGGGGUAGCAGAACACAAGUAGCUCGGAUAGUUGUGAGUUGCAUUUCUCUUCCGGUGAGUGACACUGUUUCUUGGCAGAGCUGACUCUGCAGUCUAGCAGUCAGAGCGAGGCCAGGAGGAGCGCACAGCUCAGAGUAAUUAAGGGACUUGUCCAAGGGUACAAGAGACACAGAGGCAGGGCAAAGGCAGAAGUCUUUCUUUUUGUGGAUUACCUGGAUCUUGAAAUCUAGCAUUUAAGAGCCUGAGGCAGGAUGUUAUUAGUUCAACGCCUUCCUAGGUUAUACAGUGAGACUUUGUCUAAAAAAAAAAAAAAAAUCAAGCACAGGUGAUGUGCUCGUUCAAGUAGGUAAAGACAGCCCGAGUCAGUCCCCAAGAUCCACAAGGUGGGAGGAGGAACCAACUCCUAACAGUUGUCCUCUGACCUUCUUCAUGUGCACACACACUUCAUGAAUAAAUGAAAAUUUAAAUAACGUUUAAGUAAAUCAAACAAGAAAAUACAUUCUUCUGAGGUCACACAUUUUACUCAUUUAAAACGUGUAAGUUAUGGGGUAGAGAAAUGGCUCCCCAUAAAUUAAGUUAAGCUAGGUUAAGCUCCUGUUCUUCUAAAGAACUUGAGUCUGGUUCCCAGCGCCAACUCUGUCAGCACAGAACUCCAGUUCUAGGAGACUCCAUGCUCUCUUCUGGUCUACUUAGACAUUCACAUACACACGUUAUAUACAUAUAUAUAUAUAUAUAGAUAGAUAGAUAUAGAUAUAGAUAUAUAGAUAUAGAUAUACACACACAUACACAUGCAUGGAAAUAAUCAUAACAAUAAAAAAUUAAAUAUAUGAAUCAGAGGGCUAGAAAGAUAUUUCACUAAUUAGAAGUUCUCCCUGAUGCCAGAGGACCAGGGUUUGGCUCCUGGCAUCUGUUUUGGGUGGCUCACAAUUGCUUCUAAUUCUAGCUCCAAGGGGUCAGACACCCUCUUCUGGCCUUUGAGGGUAACCACAUGGAAAACACAUGCACAUACACAACUAAAAAAGUAAAUAAAUUUUAAAAAAUGUUUAAAUAUA